GAGUUUGAUCGUGGCUCAGGACGAACGCUGGCGGCGUGCCUAAUACAUGCAAGUAGAACGCUGAGGUUUGGUGUUUACACUAGACUGAUGAGUUGCGAACGGGUGAGUAACGCGUAGGUAACCUGCCUCAUAGCGGGGGGAUAACUAUUGGAAACGAUAGCUAAUACCGCAUAAGAGUAAUUAACACAUGUUAGUUAUUUAAAAGGAGCAAUUGCUUCACUGUGAGAUGGACCUGCGUUGUAUUAGCUAGUUGGUGAGGUAAAGGCUCACCAAGGCGACGAUACAUAGCCGACCUGAGAGGGUGAUCGGCCACACUGGGACUGAGACACGGCCCAGACUCCUACGGGAGGCAACAGUAGGGAAUCUUCGGCAAUGGACGGAAGUCUGACCGAGCAAACGCCGCGUGAGUGAAGAAGGUUUUCGGAUCGUAAAGCUCUGUUGUUAGAGAAGAACGUUGGUAGGAGUGGAAAAUCUACCAAGUGACGGUAACUAACCAGAAAGGACGGCUAACUACGUGCCAGCCGCCGCGGUAAC
rnacentral:rRNA from 1 species